GCCCGGGUGGCGGAAUAGGCAGACGCGCUAGCUUGAGGGGCUAGUGGGAAAUUUUCCCGUGCUGGUUCGACUCCAGUCCCGGGCA
rnacentral:tRNA from 1 species